UUGUCUUCUUGACUCUUCUUCUCCACUCUGUACCAGGGCAGAGUAAAAAGUAGUGCUGAGUUAGUCCCCUCUAGGGUACCUGACUGCAUCAGGGUGGGCCAGCAGUAGGCAUAGGAGGUCCAGUGGGCACUUCAUCUUCCCUACACUUGCACCUAACCAUGGAAGCAUUGUCUCUGAACUGGAGCAAACCUAUCAGGUCAUUCUUUCCAUUUCACAGAUGAGAAGAUAGACCCAGAGAGGUGAAGUCUCACGGUGGUUUGUGGCAAAUGUAGGAGCAGAACUAUGGCCUCAGCUUCAUAACUUGUUCCGCUACACUGUUCUGUCACCCACAGAUGCAAGACCACAGAGCACAGUGGCUCCCUACAACAGUGGUUCAUGUGUGUGGUGACAAGGUUCCAUUCCUAACCCAGUUAGUGCCACACCGAUUUCAAGGAGCUCUACAUCCCUCUUUUAAAAAACAAAACAAAACAGGGUAACCGGGUUAAUGGAUUGUUCCUGGCCCUGCUGGUUUGGAGGUUGACUCGUUCCCAUAUAGAAAAAACCAAGCCUGUGUGUUUCUCCCUCUCCUCCCGUUCCCUCCCACAGGCUAUUAGGUCAACCCGAGGGCUGAGAUGAGAUGUUCUUGUCCAUCACCAGUUAAGUCAGUUGGAGAAGGAUGCAGACUAUUGUGAUGGAUCAUGACACCAUUCUGAUGUGCUGCAGAUAAGAAUCAGACAGAGAAAGCCAGGCAGAGUCUGUGUGGCAGGACUGUGAGCCUAACCUCUCAAGAGCAGCUCACUCUUCCUCAAGGGAGGCAGACCCCUGAUGAUGCUGAGUGCCUUAGGCCUUGCUGAUGGCCACUGUGGAGGGAGGAACUGAAGGACGCUUGUUGACUUCACAAAGGGAGGAAGAUUUGAACUACUGGGACUGUCUAGCUUACUAUAUUACUUUAAAACUCAUUAAGACCCAAGUGUAGGUUGGUAUCAGCAAGGUAUCAGGGAAUUUUUAGCUCUCUGAGCUCCUGCUUCUUUAAUGGGAGAAUAGUGACGCUUCUCGCUGAGGCGUGGAAGGUAGGCUAGCAUCUGGCGGUAGAAAAAACGGGGCCUCGUGUAGGCAGACAGCACUAUGCACCCACACCUAGUAGAUAUAU